UACAGAGGGUGCAAGCGUUGUUCGGAAUCAUUGGGCGUAAAGCGCACGUAGGCGGCUUUGCAAGUCGGAUGUGAAAUCCCUCGGCUCAACCAAGGAAGUGCAUCCGAAACUGCAGAGCUUGAGUACCAAAGAGGAUCGCGGAAUUCCCGGUGUAGAGGUGAAAUUCGUAGAUAUCGGGAGGAACACCAGUGGCGAAGGCGGCGAUCUGGGUGGAUACUGACGCUGAGGUGCGAAAGCGUGGGGAGCAAACAGG
rnacentral:rRNA from 1 species